UGUUAUUUUGUGUGACAGAAAGAGGAUAACAUCUUUUGUUAUUUUAGCGUUAAAUAUACUAAUCCACUUUAUCGUUCUUAUGUUCAGUACUAGUGACAUCAAUAGGUAUACAAUAUCAGGUGAUGAGUGAUGGAGGUGAAUGUACUGAUGACUGUCUGUUAAUUGACUGAUCACUUCCUGACAUUGACCUGCUGAUGGUUUAGUGAGGGAUACUUUAUAACUGGUCCACUUCACCUUUCCAGUCUCUUCUCCUAAUAAUAAACACAGUGAUGCUGGUUUUUGUACCAGUAAGUCAUUACAGCUGCUAGAAUGGAAUGGGUGUGGUCUAUCUUUUAUCAUGUGAUAGUAAACAAAAAUCAAUUUCCUUGGUCCAUUAUUCCAGUAUAUAAUUCUGUGGACAACAGAACU